AAACGUGGGGUGGAUAUACAGUGUGUGUGUGUGUAUAUAUAUAUAUAUAUAUACACACACACACACACACACACACACACACUGUAUAUCCGUCCCACGUUU
rnacentral:miRNA from 1 species